AGUGAACGCUGGCGGUAGGCCUAACACAUGCGAGUCGAACGGCAGCACAGUAAGAGCUUGCUCUUACGGGUGGCGAGUGGCGGACGAGUGAGGAAUACAUCGGAAUCUACUUUUUCGUGGGGGAUAACGUAGGGAAACUUACGCUAAUACCGCAUACGACCUACGGGUGAAAGCAGGGGAUCUUCGGACCUUGCGCGAUUGAAUGAGCCGAUGUCGGAUUAGCUAGUUGGCGGGGUAAAGGCCCACCAAGGCGACGAUCCGUAGCUGGUCUGAGAGGAUGAUCAGCCACACUGGAACUGAGACACGGUCCAGACUCCUACGGGAGGCAGCAGUGGGGAAUAUUGGACAAUGGGCGCAAGCCUGAUCCAGCCAUACCGCGUGGGUGAAGAAGGCCUUCGGGUUGUAAAGCCCUUUUGUUGGGAAAGAAAAGCAGCAGGUUAAUACCCCGCAGUUCUGACGGUACCCAAAGAAUAAGCACCGGCUAACUUCGUG
rnacentral:rRNA from 1 species